ensembl:snoRNA
UGGGUUGAUGAUGACUACUGGUGGUGUAUGAGUCAUCUACAAUGAAUAUGUCUCUGGAACUCUGAGGUGUGU